UACGUAGGGUGCAAGCGUUGUCCGGAAUUAUUGGGCGUAAAGAGCUCGUAGGCGGCCUGUCGCGUCGGCUGUGAAAACCCGGGGCUCAACCCCGGGCCUGCAGUCGAUACGGGCAGGCUAGAGUCCGGUAGGGGAGACUGGAAUUCCUGGUGUAGCGGUGAAAUGCGCAGAUAUCAGGAGGAACACCGGUGGCGAAGGCGGUUCUCUGGGAAUGUCCUGACGCUGAGGAGCGAAAGCGUGGGGAGCAAACAGG
rnacentral:rRNA from 1 species